UCAAAAAUAGGAGUAAGCUCUGGCCCCACAUUGCUGAAAAUGCAACUGAAAAUGAACUGGCUGUGCCUGUGCCUUGCUGAGAGAUGAAGCAGUCUUAGUCCUGUAGGUGAUGCUGUGGUCAGGCGCUGCGGUCCGGGUGGGUACUGUGUCUGUGAGCAUCUGGGGUCGCCAGCAGUCCUUUCUCAGCAGCACACACAUACAGGAAUCCACCUGAGUUCUGACAACAGAAUGCUGCUUAGGAUGUCACAAGGGCUUGGAAUUGCGGGGAGCUAUGCUUCAGUACAUGGACUGGGACCACUCAGGAGCUUCUGGCUCAACUUACAAUACCAAAGAUGUGGAACCAACCUAAGUGCCCAUCAACCAAUGAGUGAGUAAAGAAAACGAGGACUAUAUACACCAUGGAAUACUAUUCAGCCCUGAAAAAGAAAGAAGUAAUAUAUUUUGCAGCAGUUUGGAUGGUACUGGAGGCCUUUAUUUCAAGUGAAGUAAGUCAGGAGUGAAAACUCAAAUACUGUAUGUUCUCACUUAUAAGUGGGAGGUAAGCUAUGGGUAAACAAAGGCAUAUAGAGUGGUAUCAUGAACACUGGAGACCUGAGAAGGGGGAAGGCUGGAAAGGAGGUGAGGAAUAAACAGCAUAUGUUGGUUAUAAUGUACA
rnacentral:lncRNA from 13 species